GUCUACAGCCCUACCACCCUGAACACACCUGAGCUUGUCUGAUCUCGGAAGCUAAGCAGGGUCGGGCCUGGUUAGUACUUGGAUGGGAGACCAUCUGAGAAUACUGGGUGCUGUAGGCU
rnacentral:rRNA from 1 species